UUCUCACAUUAAAAUGUGUAUGGGGUGUGAGAAAUUCAGUUUGUAUGGGAGGGUCCACGCCCCGUUUUUCAAUAACUCCCAAUUUUUCCAUGAGUUUGGCGUUGAUAUUAUAUCCCUCUAUACUAAGUUGCAGCACUCUACAAUGAAUACUUCCAGAGAUAUGUUGCGU